ensembl:lncRNA
GGCGCCAAGGCUGCUGUGAGGGAGGGGCGGGGCUUCGGUGAGGGGCUUGGCUCUGUGAGGGGCGGGGCUCCCUGAGGAGGGGGGAGCCGUGAGGUGCCUGGUGGCCGAGAGGGCGGCCCCACGCUGCCCCUGCCCUCAUUCUGGGGGGAACUGGGUUUGGUCAGGGAAUCGGAAGUGUGAGGUGAAGGCUUCAAGCAGGAGGUGGAUGUUGAAACCCACAUCCACAUUUCGUGGGUCCUCACCUGUGUUUAAGUGUUACAACCGCCCUUUGGUGUUUUCCGUGGUGAUCAAACCAGAAAGUCCUUCAGUGGAACCAGGUAUUUUGGUUUGAAGUUUCUCUUCUGUGAUCAGCUGUUCAAAAUACUCAGCAUCCAUCAUUCUACCAGACCUACUUUAAGUCUGACAUGACGCAGCGUGCACAAAUAGGGAAGGAUGUGUCUCUGUUGGCUGUAACGUGUGACUCUUUUUUACAGAUGUGGUGUCAUUUUCUUGAAAACAGAGCAAAGACCAAAUAUCCUGACAAAGGAGCAGUGAGAACAACUGAUGAGAACCCUUUUAUUUGUGAUAUGAAGAAGACAUGGAUUCAUCCUCAAAGUGGACCGUGGUACUUCUAAGUUCUUCACCAGACAUCAACAGCCUUUUUGUUUUCCUAGUCAUCUGGAGAAUGUUACAAAAGAUUGCCAGAAAUUAAAAGAAAAAGUGGACUAGUGGAACUGAAAUUGCUUUUGUGAUUCCCAUGCCUCUUAAAUUGUUGUAUUCUGAUCUGUCCGUAUGAACCUCUUUCAGAAACAAUAGUAUCUUCACACCUGGCAAAGAAUGCUUCCUUCCUCAGUUACAGCUGUGAAGACAGGGUUUGUACUUGCAUGGAAAAAUACGGAAAUUAUAUCCUCAGCUGAUGAAAUCUUCAUUUUUGGAAUCCCUCAAAAGCAUUGGACUUGCUGCCAACUAAAAGAGAAGGAAACAGAGAUUUCAGUAACAUUUAUGUCUUUUAAAAUGGGAAAUAGAGCCCCUUGCAAGUAGCUGAGAGUUGCAUUGCUUACCAUGAGUAAAAUUAGAAUACUCUACAUCUCCUUUAUGCUGGCCAUGCAUUUAACAAGCAGCACACAAGGGUACUAAUAAUUUCUUCAUUCCUCCAAACAGCAUUUAGUGAUGUGGGUUUAAGGGUUUACCUUGAAGAAUAUGUGAGUGUUGAGAUAAGAAGAAGGAGUUGAGAGGGAGGAAGCUGAAGCACACGGUUCAUUGGCCACUGCAGAUUAGCAGGUCGGCCUGUAAAAGGUUAUUUAUUAAAGCCACUGUAAAUAUGAAGUCCUGUCUCUACCAAGGAGAGAGCUCAGCAGGUCUGCACGGACCUUACGCCAUCAUGUUGAGCUGUCCAAGUUGGCUGCUCUUCACAUACUUGAGGUAUGUAUGUACAUGUACAUAUGCUCAGAGUGUGCAGUGAUGAGCACUGAUUCUGAAGCCUGUUCAGAAAUGGAAUUCUUACAGUGACAAUUUCAUUUGCGUAAGGAGUAUCAUGUUUUUUUUCCUUCCAGUCCUGAUAUCUUGUAUAGAUAUGAACUCCCAAGGGGAUGAAGGCAAAUUGGAAAUUCUGGAAAAAAAUCGAAAAGAAAUUUU